rnacentral:rRNA from 1 species
GUAGGGAAUAUUGCACAAUGGGCGAAAGUCUGAUGCAGCAACGCCGCGUGCGCGAUGAAGGCCUUCGGGUCGUAAAGCGCUUUUCUGAGGGAAGAGAAAGGACUGUACCUCAGGAAUAAGUCUCGGCUAACUACGUGCCAGCAGCCGCGGUAAUACGUAGGAGGCAAGCGUUAUCCGGAUUUACUGGGCGUAAAGCGCGUGCAGGUGGUUUGGUAAGUUGGAUGUGAAAUCUCCUGGCUCAACCGGGAGGAGUCGUUCAAAACUGCCAGACUCGAGGACGGUAGAGGAGAGUGGAAUUCCCGGUGUAGUGGUGAAAUGCGUAGAUAUCGGGAGGAACACCAGUGGCGAAAGCGGCUCUCUGGGCCGUUCCUGACACUCAGACGCGAAAGCGUGGGUAGCGAACGGGAUUAGAAACCCUGGUAGUCC